CAGGUUGAUGAGGGGGAAAGAACAAAAACUGCUAAGAAGUGAGGGUGAGGACUACAAAUAAGCCCUUUCUGCUCAUUGUAGAGAGAGCCAGGGACCAGUGGCAAAGCUAAUAGGGAGCAACCACCCCUCAGCAACAUUUAGGUGUGUGUGUUGUGCCUUUUCACAUGGGACUUCGAUGUGUGCCAGGUUGCAACACCAGUCACUCAAAUUUGGUUCUCCCUGGCUUCCCUCCCUCAUGGGGUCACAUGGCACUGUGACCCUGUGAACAAGGAGCCAGGCACAGCCCUAUGAGACAGCCUAUCCCCAAUGUCUGCGUGCUGCACUGGGCCAGGAUUAGGGUUGCAACGCUGGGGAGGAGAGUACUGCUGCAGGUGGUUAGUGCCCCUUUGGCCAUCACCCCUCCUGGUUGCAAAACCUGGCUCCACCGCUGCCAGGGAGAGUAGUAGUUUGCUGGCUGGGCUAUCCUGGCCUGUGAGCAAGCAGGGAAAGGAGCCUGUGAGGGAGUAGACACAGGAGACACAGGCUAAGACUAAUGAGCUACAUUAUCAACAUCAGCCAGGAGAGGGCUCUGAAAAGGAAGUGCCACCCUGAGAUCAGAGGAAACCUGGCUCAGCAGAGAGAGCGACUGCUGGUGAGCAGGAGCUGCAGGUCGGAGACAACAGCAUGGGAGCUGCCUGUGGAGGAGCGCUGGGACUGGAAGGCUGAGAACAAGCCAGCAACAGCCUGUUGCUGGCAGGGACUCUUGUUUACCCCAGAAGAAUGGAGGACUUCUAAUAUAGCCGGAGGGCUAAACUAACUCAUCCUUCCAGCAGAGAGAAGACAAGUAAAAAAAGGGGAAAAUUGAUGCAGUGGCCACACCUGAUGAUGAAGCUGAUCCAUGUCCAGACAGACCCAUAUAAAAAGGCAGAUGUGUUAGCACACACACUUUUCUGGGAUCCAGCUCACUCUCUCACAUCUGCAACUAUCUCGCACCUUGCAUGUUAUGAAAGACUUUUCUUCAUCACUGGGCUGAAUGUGGGAGCAGCAAGUGCAAGUGUCAUUGUUUGGCAGCUUCAUACAUUCUCUUUUUAGAAUGCCAGAUACUUAAUACAGUAUGUGCAGUGGAAUAUGGAACUCUGGAAGUCUGAAAAGAAGGAUAUCAUUGCCUAGAAAACAUGGCCCGUGUUUUUGACAGACUGAUUUGUUUGUACCCCAAACUGGAAUAUUAUAGUCGAAGGUGAUAUUAAAAUAUUAUACUUUGUUACUGCAGAAAUUAAUGAAAAUCUGCAAGCAUUUGGAUCUGUGUUUUUGUAUAUUCUGGUCCUACCUCCAGUAACAAAUGUUAUGACUUUUUUGUCCCCUUCAUUCUAGCUGUAUUUUAACAUCUAUGCACGUGGUUAUACAUCUGCAUAUUUUAUUUUAACAAUUAUGAACCACAUAACACACCCUGAACAAGACAGAAUUGUGUACUUCAAGCUUCAACUGUAAAACACAAUAAUGUAGGAUAAAACCUGAUAUAAUUCAAGUGAUCUGUCUGUCUAAUCUAUCUGGUGAUCGGUGAGUCGUACUUACAUGAGCCAGUACCAUAAUAGCUGAGCACUUCACAAUUUUUCAUCCUCACAACGCAAUCUACUAGGGAAAUCCUUUCAUUGCUAGGAAGGUAUGCAAGUAGCCAGGGCUAGGAAAUCUUGAUCAACAUGAAUCUCUCCUGACAAAUAUAUAGGUGAUAGGCAAUUCUGAAUUUCCGUAAAUGAAGUAUAUAGUCUGUUGGGACACUGUACCUUUAAACAAAAACUCUCCUCCAUAGAGUUCAUGGAAUGUUGAGAAGAUACUUUCUAAAAGGUAGGCAGUCUGUCUUGAGCAGAGAGACACUUAGAGGAUCAGAUUAUUUUUUCCUGUAUUUUUUUAAGUCUAUACCAUUGCCCAUGUAGCCAUGCUACACUGCUGUUUUUGGCAUGCUAGUUCAAUCAAAGCUGCUGUGGGUAUAUCCAUCCGAGCUGAUAAUUCUCUAAAGUUUGCAAAGUAGACAAACCUUAAAGGUAUGUCUUCACAGCACAGUUAACUAAAGACUUUUACCUAGAUUUUAGUCCCCUAUCAUACACACAGAAAAUCCUCUGGCCUGGUUUUGGAGGUGCUUUAAGUCCAGGCUAGAUUCCUCAGCUGGGGAGUGGGUUAGAGCCCAAGCUCUGCUUUCACUCAGACUGGAACCCACACAUUUUGCAAUGCGGAUACAAGCAAAAUCACUUGAGUACUAGAAGCUAUCCAAUGCCCUUCCCACAAUCCCCUUGCCCCCCAAAGGACGGACAGGUUGUCUGACUAUUGGCUGAGAAAGAAUCCUAGAGUGUCUCAGUACAAAGAUCCAUUAGAUGUUCCCCCAGAUGCACCUGGGCAAGUGCAGAAACAGUGGAGACGCAGUAACAUGGGUAUGGCUUUGCUGUGGGAAUGCUCAGACCCAGGCUUGGCUAACCCAGUGCCAAUCACUCAGGUUAAAUUGUUCAGUGAAGACAUACCCUAAGGCUGAUUUAACCCUUAGUUACCUUUUAGCUGGUAAUACAAUAACUGCCAAACCCACAGGUAUUUGUAUAACAUUCAUGAAAGUAAAACAUGUAUCUUCCAUGAUUAAACUGUAAUCUUUUCAGAGCAGGGACCAUUUCUACCUCUUUAAGCAGUACUUGGCACAGUGGUACCUUGAUCAUGGUUGUGGCUUCUCUGUGUUACCAUAAAAUAAUAAUAAUUAUGCAGAUUUCACAGUUUAUUACUUUGUGUAAUUUACCUGAUUAUGAAUUUCCUUCUUAGCAGACAUAUUCCUUAGGUAAAUGGCUCUGGGGUUGUUGUUCACCUAAGAAAGGAAUGGUGAGAUCUUUGCAGUCUACCACGGAGGUGGAAAAGCACAACACACACACACAUUUACAUGUAAAGGUGUCGUCACUGAAAUGUAGAAAUAUGAAUUGACAUGCCUUAUAACAGUGUGAGUUUUUCACCUAGGAUUUAUUGUCAGCACUCAUAACACAAUGAUUACACCCACAUAAAUUGACACUCUUAUUGUCGGUAUAUGUAUAUAAGUAGUGAGUUAUCUUGUAAACCUAAAAUUAACCCAAUUAAAUUCUGGGUGCUCAUUACUACUCUGACUACUUUUAUCAAAUGAAAAUAAGU